UCCAGACUCCUACGGGAGGCAGCAGUGAGGAAUAUUGGUCAAUGGACGAGAGUCUGAACCAGCCAAGUAGCGUGAAGGAUGACUGCCCUAUGGGUUGUAAACUUCUUUUAUAUGGGAAUAAAAUGUUCCACGUGUGGGAUUUUGUAUGUACCAUAUGAAUAAGGAUCGGCUAACUCCGUGCCAGCAGCCGCGGUAAUACGGAGGAUCCGAGCGUUAUCCGGAUUUAUUGGGUUUAAAGGGUGCGUAGGCGGAAGGUUAAGUCAGCGGUCAAAUGUCGGUGCUCAACACCGGCCUGCCGUUGAAACUGGUCUUCUUGAGUGAGCGAGAAGUAUGCGGAAUGCGUGGUGUAGCGGUGAAAUGCAUAGAUAUCACGCAGAACUCCGAUUGCGAAGGCAGCAUACCGGCGCUCAACUGUCGCUGAGGCACGAAAGCGUGGGGAUCGAACAGGAUUAGAUACCCUGGUACC
rnacentral:rRNA from 1 species